GAAUUUUGGACAAUGGGGGCAACCCUGAUCCAGCCAUGCCGCGUGCGGGAAGAAGGCCUUCGGGUUGUAAACCGCUUUUAGCCGGAAAGAAAAGGCGCAGGCCAAUACCCUGCGUUCUUGACGGUACCGGCGGAAUAAGCACCGGCUAACUACGUGCCAGCAGCCGCGGUAAUACGUAGGGUGCGAGCGUUAAUCGGAAUUACUGGGCGUAAAGCGUGCGUAGGCGGUCCGCUGUGUCCCGUGUGAAAGCCCCGGGCUCAACCUGGGAAUUGCAUGGGAAACUGGCGGGCUUGAGUGCGGCAGAGGGGGGUGGAAUUCCGCGUGUAGCAGUGAAAUGCGUAGAGAUGCGGAGGAACACCGAUGGCGAAGGCAGCCCCCUGGGCCGACACUGACGCUCAGGCACGAAAGCGUGGGGAGCAAAC
rnacentral:rRNA from 1 species